rnacentral:lncRNA from 1 species
UCCUAAACAUGCUCCUGAUAGUCAAUGUAAUAAGAUAACAAAAAAUAGAAAUGAAACGAUAAAAAUAAAAUAAAAUAAAUUAAUUAAAGCAUGUAACAAUUUUAUUUAUGUUUGGCUUUUCUCCUCAUUCCCACAACAUAUCGGCAUUACUCCAAAAAACCGAAACCAUAUUGAAUAAAUCUUUCAGCAGACGAAUCAACCAAAUCACGAACUGAAAAUAAGAUGAGCAAAGUGAUGGAUUUGAAGUAUGACAGGAGCCACCUAAAACCUCACCGGUUUAACUCACAGUAAUCUCUUAACAAAAAAAAAACUACUAGCAUCUAAAUGACGAGACCCUAACAAUGCUCCCACGAGAUGUCUGUGAAAAAAAUUAAUUUUUACUCGCCCCAAAGCCUUUUCCUUCAAGAAUCUACAAACAAUAGGUUAUUACCAAGAACAUAUAUUAUAAUAUGUAAAAAUGAGUCAGGUGGAAUUUUAAUGAGAAAAUCAAGUGCCUCAAAUCCUAAAGCAUGACUGCCAAUGCUCCCUAACCCCUCUGAAAUACAGAGAAAACCUUUUCACAAAUGAACCUCUCAUGCAAAUUCAAUCGAGAUUUUAUGGAACCAAAAUAUUGAUUGCGCACUUAUAUUGUAAAAGAAAGGGAGUUGUCGGAGAGUCAGCAAAUGACCAUAUAGUUCAUAUCAAAUCAGAUAACCUAGACUCAAAGCAGAUUACAGUCAAACAAUUACACAAUUUAAAGAUUGAGGGCCUAACGAAGAGAAAACUUAUGAAAUCUUCUCGAUCACUCACUUUUGUUCAAAAGAAAAAUUCACCAUACCAAGUGAAAAAGUAAGAAACAUAUGAUGAAAAAUAGUUAUAGCAGAUUUAAACACCCUUGCAACUAAUCGAGCACAUUCUGAUAGAUAAUUUAGAUAAUAGUGAAACCAAACCACACUUCAAUCCAGACAUUUGAAACUAAGCCAAACCUGAUCUACUCGCAACGACACUUAACUUUUAUUGUUAUACUCUUGUUAAGAAAGCUGAUCCGACAUGGAUUGAAGAAAAUCGCAACUAACUCAAGAUGGUCGGGCUAUAUCUUUUAAUGACUGAGUUGCAAAAUAGCAGAACCUAACAACUCUAGUUUAAUUGAACCAAGCAGUUUUGAAAAGAAAUGACUCUUCAAAACAGUUAAUGAGCUGUGUAUUAUCCCAGAAUUUUAUUCCAAACAACUCUAAAUCAACCCCUCCAAACUAAACCUCAAGCGAUUUCUGAAUCUGACAAACCUAAAGUUCCAAUCAUAUUUCAAUCACCAAAAAUAGAGUCGAGAAAACAGAAAUGAACCUGAAUGUGAAAACUUUGAUUAAUUCUGCUUUGAAUCAAAUACAAGUGAAUCCGGCGAUGAAAAAUCCCAAGAGGACAGCAGAUACAAUGCGAUAAGAUGCCAAAACCACGAACUCGAAUUCGAAUGGCCAACUCGAUCUCGGCUCAAUCAAUCUUCACGUCGAAACCAAAAAUCAGAAUUAAAAUUGAAGAGGGCAGAACUAUAUUAUAUUUUGGUUUUUUUUUUUACUUUUUAUUUCGAAAAUGGAACAAUACUUGAACAAAACCAAACUCAAACUUUUGUUUGUAUUUUUUGUUUUCUGGAAUUCGAACUCAACCAAAAAAUGGACCAAAGAAACAAACUCCCUAUUAGAAGCUAAUUCCGAAAAAACCCUCCUCCAAAAUCCGAGAAAUCACCCCAAUAUAUAGGGGGUCUCGAAUCUUCCAUUCUUCUUACCAAGAAAUCGCGUGUGGAGACCUCAAACAAAAAUCUGAAAAUUUCAUUUUUAACAAAAAUCAAAAAAUGGAAGUCUUGGAUCAAAGUUUAAUCUAACGGCUCCCAUUUUCCAACAUUUAUUUUCAAGGAUUCGGAUUUUCUGGUUUAAACAAAGGAAAUAAAAGAAGAAAUCCGCAAAAUCGGAUUGAAAUGAUGAGAUUUGGUACGAAAUGGAUGACGUGGGAGAAGGAGAAGAUGAGGAGGGACCAUGGGGGGACCAGGCCGAGCGAACUCGUCCGAUUCCAGCAAGUUCCGGCAGGUUUGGAGACGGCAGAGAUGAGGGUUGCGGCUGGUCUUAGGUUUUUAGGAUUAGAGUUUGGGAUUAUGUUUGGGGUGUUAUGUGUUUGGGGGAGUUGAU